UAACAUCUUGCUUGCCGUUGAUCUGAAACCCUGGAAAAAGAUCCAGAUGUCGCGGGAAGAAGUGCCGCGACACAACACAUAAGUGAUAGAAAUUCUAGAUGAAAGUUUAGAGUAGAUAGACUAUUUCCCUUUAUAGAUCCCGAUCUUUGUUUGAGAAACCUGCGUGCAGAAGGAACCUUGCUAGGAUUAGUGCACCUUGUUUCUGUUUCGAACUCGUUCAACGACCUGAACGGCCACAGAUUGCCUUCACACUGUUUCGAACUUGCUCAACAGACCAAGCGGUUAUGCAACGCCUUAUUUCGCCUCCAGCCACGCUCGACGAUUUAAGCGUUGCACUGAGUGCGGCAAGGAGUCUUGCCGGUAAUGACCCCUCUGAUGAACAGCUAAGGAUUCGUUCCUCAAAGCACUAGAAGUAGGACCAGUCAUGCCGACAAGUUUCCGGAAAAUGCAAAGGGUCUAUCAUACAAAGAGGGGGAUCAGACAAAAGGGAAAACAACAUUUCAUUCACUUGUGUGAGGCAAGCUCAGACAUAUUACAUGGAUGAUUUUUACUACUCUAACCCUAUGAUACUGUCUCUUGGUGAGGGACAAUGCUUGCCGGACAGGAGUUCAAGAAGACAAAAAGCGGCAAGGCCCCCGGCGCAACCCAAGCUGGCUCCUCCCGGACCAACACUGCACGAAGGAGAACGUGGCCAGAAGGGACGACAGAGCUGGGAACCAGGCGAUGCCAGCAGCAUGCGGCAGCGUCGGUUCUUCCGGCUCGUCGGUCCCAACUCGGAAGGAGGAGAGACGCGGACUGACCGUGAUGGUGCGACCGAUGGUCAGUCCAAGGUCAGGUCCUCGCACCUAGCCUUAGCCUGCCGAGGAUCUGACCCAUACUCGUUGUCGCUCCCGCCUGUCCCGUCCUCGUCGCCCUCGCGCGAGGAAGGGCUUUCAGUCCCGCUCGAGAUCUCUUCGCAGCAACUGAAGCGCACACCUGAGCUCCCGUAUAUCUUGACGGAGAGCAGUUUGUCCGCCGUCAUCUGGAAGCGAAGAACGUGCCUGUCCUAGAGAUUAUGGGCACGAGCGAAGCUCUUCCACCCACGACCAAGGAACAGGAGCUGGGGCUCCGGUUGCUCCACGACCACCGGUGUAUGGCGCCGUUGCUACAGCCAUGCACCCGAAGCCACAACAUUGGGAGCUUCUCUUCGCUCAUCACCUUGGCGAAAGUGAUGGGGAGUUGAAGCCGGGUUCCGAUGCGGCCUUGCAGUUUGGCAAGCAACUCUAACGGAGUCCUUUCAACAUGAGUCUUCGCGGGAACAAGCCUGGGAGAAGACGGGGGUGCUGGAGUAGCAGCCUGCCUUCCCCCGCCAUGGCCUCCGCAGCGACCGCGACCCCUCGCCCCUCCGCCACCUUGGGCGCUCGGUCCACCCUCCGCAACUGCGGCCCCUGAAGCCGUGGCAUGAUCCGAACGGGAUCCUCUCGCCGCCCUGGCGGCUGAUGGUGGACGCCCUCAUCCCCUAGCCAUGGUUAGGGGCAAGCGCCACCUGAAGCUAAGAAAUAUACUGCAGAAACAAGCUAGGUGUGCUGAGCGUUUUGGGAGUUGGAUGGAUGAGCAAACCCCCCUCGCAAACCCCGUAAUUUAUAGGUCGACGCGCGGGGGCUAGCCCUCCUCGCUCGAGGAACUGCCGCCCCUCUCGCCCAAUCACCCAUGAUCAAGGGCGAACUGGGGGCCGCGCUGCUGCACCAAUGCAUGUGGGGGCGGGCCCUUCCACGACUGCAACCUUUAAGGACACGAUCGUCACUUGCCUAACCAUUACUGGGCAUGCCUCAGGUGUGGCAGUAGUGCUUCGAGAGGUGGGAAGGCCACUGUGCGCACACCUCUCCACCUCUCGUGCUCAAUGCGCGACGUGGGGAAAGACCACUUGCAACGGCUCCAAACUACCGAUUACCCUGUAAUAGAAGGCCGUGCACAACUUUGGGCCUGACCCAACGACGCCUCGCGCUCGUGGGUGGCCUAGUCCCGGGGGCUCCUGUCGGUGCACUGAAGACUAGGGUCUCGUGUGCCCCAGACUUGUGCACGGGCACCAGCAACACCCUUGGCGGUAGUACGCGAAGAAGGCUGGCGGGGAAAGAUAACCCAAGCUCACCAAGGCCACACCCCUCCAAGGGCGUGAAGAACAAACCCAAGCCACAAGGCCCCGACAAGCCCUCCUUGCCGGGAAGAACCACAAGGCCACGGCAAGCCCUCCUUGUCGGGAAGACACGCAAGGCCCUCGGCAAGCCCUCCUUGCCGGGAAGACGUCCAAGGCCCCAGAAAGCCCUCCUUGUCGGGAAGACGGGUUAGGCCACCGGCAAGGACGCCAGGUCGGCAAGGUCGCUUCGCCCGCCAUGUGUCCUUCCUACCACAAUACCACCAACUGCCCGUAACACCCUGUUUUUACUACCACUUCUGUGUAAUGCAAAAAUCUGAGCUUGUUAAAACUUUUUCAAAACUAAUGAUGUGAGUGCCAUGUUUGUCAUUGAAUGACUUGUGUGAUGAUCAUGUGAUGAUAAAACCCCAUUUCACAAUAUUGAAUUAUUUUCAAAACCUUCUUCUUGUUUCUGAUCACGGUAAAACCCUACUUUGAGUUGCAUUACUUGCCCUUGAUGGCAAGAUUGGUUUCUACCCAAAGUUGGUGAUCUGAUUUUAACUUAUUUUUAUAUCCCAAAACCACAAAAUAAUUAUUUUUAGAAUUGUUUUCUAAAUUUAUUUACAAGUCCAUUUCUGACGCCAGAAAUGGUAUUCCUACAUGGAAAAAUACUCUUAUGCCUUAGAAAAAUCUGAUUAAAUUUGGAGAUGAUGAGAAGGACAUAUAUUUUCCAUACAUAGGAUGUUACACCCCUAUUUUUAUUAUAAUUAUUUGAGUAAAACCCUGAAAACCAUUUUUGUCUGUUUUGACCUUUUGAAAUAUUUCCAAAUGAAAUAUUCUCAAUAAAAUUCUAGAAAAUUCCAAGGGUAUCCCUAAGCCAUAUUUGAUGUCCACAUAAAGUAUCACUUUGAUCCAAGGUGAUUAAGGACCCCAAAUAACCCAAAAACCCCUUCUGUCCAGAUUGGAGUUAGAGCAACUCUACAUUGCAACGUUUGUCCAUUGAUGCUGAAACUUUGUAGGAGUGCCUAAUACCUCAAAUGAGGGUUCCACACCAAAAAUGGGAUUUGUGGGACUUAGUUUGCCCACACUGUCUUUGGAAGAAACAUAUCUUGUCAAAUAGUGGCGUUUUCAAGUUUACAAAGCUAAACUUGUCCAAUGGAUCUCAAACUUGGUGAAACCCCAUGUUUUAGUACCAAACCCAAACCUGUUAAGUUGCAGCACCAGUGGUGGGGUGCAACCCCCUCAAACCACUGUUGAGUACCUUUUGACAGAUGGGAAAAAGCCCUCUUAGCCACAGCUAAACCCAACCCCUUUGCUCUGAACUCAUAGAUUAGGUGGCCAGUAUCAAUUCCCAACCACAGUCAACUGGCCCCUCACUGGUUCAAAGUGGAAAUGCCAAAAACCCCAAUCUAAGCUCCAGUUCAAGGCUGACAACACCACUAUUCCUUGUCUCCCUUGACUAGGCAAAGCUCCCACGAGACCCAAACGGCUAGCCUCACUCCCAACCAGUUCCAGGAUUUGCUAGACACGUCCAAAGUGCCUCAGAGCGCACCAGCAUGUCGUGGCAUGCCAAAACUGCGCUCUGGGCGCGCUAUAGGAAACCACCGAGGUGGGGGCGCGCUCUCGGCCAGUUCCAGCCUCCCCCGAGGUGUCUAACCUCUUCCCCGACAACCCCUAUGUGUUGAGCAACCCUCAGGGCCCCUCCUCUCCCGCGCUAGAGCUCGUGCGACGCGUGCCUGCGCACACCAGAACCGGCCAAGGUUGCGCGACCACGGAUGCUCAAUUACUCUCUCUCCCUCUAUUGCAGAUGGUUUUGGCAGUCCAAAACCACAUCCUGAGACCGUGGUUUCGACCCCAGCUCCUCCCUGCACCCCCAUGCACGCUGCGGUGAGUCAUCGGCGCUCCCGAAUCGGCUCACCGUCGCGAGCCUAUUUAUAGCCCCCUAGCUCCUGCACCCCUCAGAUAUCUUCACCACGACCACUAGACCUCCCUAGCCACCCCAGCAAACCAGCACAGCCCCGGUGCUCGAGAUCGACCGAGGCCCCUCCGCCUCGGAGCUCUGGUUGAUCUCCGGCUACAUGAUGGCUCUUGCGUCCCUCGACCCACCAAACUGAUCCCCUUGACCCCAGGAAGCUUUCCCCCAACUUCCCCGAGCAUUUCCGUGCCCCUAGCUGCCUCCUCGACAACCUCCUGAAACUCCUCCGUCGCGGCCUCCUCGUGAACCCUUGCCCCUCCGACGUUGUUCCAACCACCAGCAAGUAGGCGACAUCAUGCCGAGCCCAUUUCUGUCCUCGUUGGGGCUUGAGAACGUCGGCAGCCUCAUUGGCGUGCUCCUCCUCCUCUCUGGCUAGAGGUAGGAGACGAUCCCGACAGGUGUGCCCCACCUAUCGGUGGCCCAGCUCCCUCCCCCGCGCUACCGGUAGCCGCUGACCGCAGGGCCCCGCACGUCAGGUUCAAACCUGACGGCGCGGGCGCUUGGGAAGGUUGUCGGCUGGCCUCGGGCCGGCCCAGUUCUAGGCCGAGCCAGGCCACGGACUUAGCCCAUUUUUUCUUUUAUUUUUAAAAUCUGAGUUGUAAGAUUUUUGUAAAAACAUUUAACCAGUGUAAGAAUAUAUAUUUUCCACUGUUAUUCUUCUAAAAAUAUAUAGUAUUUAAUAAGACCUUGAGAUGAAUUUUUCAAACAACUAUUUGGUUUUGCAAUAAUAAAAAGGACUACAUUGGAAUAGUUUUGCUUCUAUUUGGUUGAUUUUAAAAAUGUGCCUUCAUUAGAAAUAGAGGCAAAUAUUUUUCAAAAUAACAACUUAGAUUUAUCAGUAAUAAAGGACAUUUUUAAAAUAACUUUGUGAUCUGUUUUUGAGUGAGCUAUUUCUUAUAUAUUCUUUUGAGGACGAUAGAAAAUCCGUGUGACGAGGGAAUUGGAGCGGAAGACCUCGAAGACCCCGGAUACCUAGCUGACCAAGGCAAGCAACCCUUUGACCAUGACUGAGCAUAUGUUAUAAUUGCAUGUUAUAAUAGCGAGUAUUUCCGUUGCAUACGAUCAUAAGUGCCAGUAAAUCAUUUGGUGUGAUGUUACCGAUGGCUCCUCCGGAGCACAUGCAUUGAGCUUGAUCCUACCCCUUUUGAGGAUCAUGCUAGUAUCAUGUUGACAAGUAAUAUCGGAAAAGUAUUACAUUAGCAUGUUGAUAACAUAAAUCAAAGUUCAUGAAAACCCCGUCAGGUGCCACUAAUGCCCGAGGGUGAUGAAGAGGUAGGUGGCCACUUUUGGUGAAGGGGUGUACCGGGUAUUUUGAGUGAGUAUGGUUUCGGAAAUAGGAUUAGAUUUAUGAUGUGUUGACUGCCCCAACCUUACCAGUACGACCACGUUACCCCUUAUGGGACGGGGCUAUGUUGAUUACUCUGGUCAGUACUAGCAAAGAUCCACAUUACUAGUGGCGGGAGUGAUGUGUGGUCAAUCUCGUGAUGGGGUCGUGCCAGGUAGGAUGACUAUGCAAUUUUUAUGAGUUCCAGGCACAUCGUUGGUCCCCGCAUGGUUGAUACUGUCCAGAGUCGGUGCUCGUAAUACGCACAACGUGUGGGCUGGGUACCAAUCGAGUGGACCUCUUUGUCUAGUAUCGUCAGGGGAAAGGCAUUGAUCGGGUACUUACCUCGGGUAUGUUAUAUACCGUGAGUCGUGGAUGACACGGAAGUUCCUCGGAUCUCGUGGGUCCAUCGUACUACCUCUGCAGAGUGUAAAACUUUUCGAAUAGCCGUGUCCAAGGUCAAGGACAGUUGGGUAAUCCUGGUAAAACUACGGCCAGUUGUUUCCGCAUAAACCAAGUGUGUGAGUGGUGAGAAAAAGGUGUUGUUAUGGAAGUAAUGAUAUGACCAAGUUUGGUGAGUUGGCAUAUAGGGUGAGCCUGGAUCGUUCAGACCUCGACAGAUAUAUUGAUAUCUGUAACCUGUUCUUCACAAGUAAUUCUUUAACUUGAUGCAUAUUCAUGAUCAUUCCACCAAGAUGAAUUCCACCAAAGAUACAUGUUUUGUUAUCCUUCACUUUCAUUGUUCAUAUCAUGGACUGUUUGCGAGUACAUUCAAAAGUACCCAUUGGCUUUCCACUGGUUAUAUUAUUGACCAGAUAUGGAAGGACCGGAGUUUGGCGUUGAGUACGUCUUCGGAGACGCCCCUGCGAACUAGGACGAUUCCGUGUCAGAAUGCCUGUCGGUGUAGGCUUGAUGGCUUGGGCACCAGCUUAGCCCCUAUGAUUUCCGCUAUUAGUUGUAUCAGUAUGAUUUGGCCUUAGGCCCAACCUUGUGAACCUGACCUUUCGGUCAUGUGAUGUUAUAAUUCGGUACUCGGAUGUAAGACUCUUAUUAUUCAGUAUCUGUGUGUUCGGUGAGCAUUGAUCUCUGGGAUCACUGAGCACGAUCAUUUGGCGAUCUCGACUUGUAAGUCGGGGUCCCCACACUGCCACCGCUCCAGCGCAUCCCUCAUGCGCCAGCACAAAGCCCAGCUAUCAAAACACCUGGGUACGUGUCGAUGCCACCUUGAUGCAAGUCAAGGUGGUAUGACAAGGCAUUUAGUGCCCCUUACACUGCGGUAGAUAGAUAGUGAUGAACCCACUACGAAGCACUAUUGGUGACUCCUUUGCCUAUAAAAGGAGGCCCAAAGCUCAGUUCUAGGGGUUGGACCUUUUGGGGUUUUUAGAAUCUUUGAUCACCAUCCGAAAGGCCAUUAUUGUAGCAAGUGACCCUAGAGUAAGCACCCAAUACAACAAACAAAGCAGGAGUAGGGUUUUACGUGCUAAGCAGCCCGAACCUGGGUAAAAGACCUUGCUAGUGCUGACCGUUUGUUCUACUCUUGGCGCCACCUCUCUCCCUCCGCCGAACGAUAAAGGGAUCCUUGGGGGUUCCCAUAGGUGUCAUUUUCGCGACACCCUCUAUGUCGAACAAUGUACCAGAAAUGGCCUAUCUGGUAUUCUUUUCAACGUGCAUCAUGUCAAUGUUGUGUGGGCGAAGGAGGUCUUCGAAGUAAGGCGGAUCCCACAAGCAUGUCUUGUGAGUCCAGGUGUGUUCUAAAUUAUACCCCUUGAAAUACCCUGGACGUUCUGGAUCAGUAUCAAGAUCAUUUAAUUGAUCCAAGAUGUGUUGGUUGUCAACGCACGUGGUGCCGAGUUUUUGACAACUGUACCUUUGCUAUAGUGUUUCUUUUUUUUCUGAACUCAUGGAGAGGAUCCAGGAACUGUAUAUUCAAGUCGAAGCUAGAAUACUUCCGACCUGCGUGCAGCCAAUGAAACUAAAGAGCUUCCUUGCAUGUUGGGCAUGGGAACCUUCCAUGCACACACCAGCCAGUGAAUAGCGCAUACGCCGGCAAGUCAUGCAUCAAGUAAAUGUACCAGACAUGCAUUUUGAAGUUUUCUUUUCUAGCGUCAGCGUAUGUCUUGAACCCAUUAUCCCAAGCUUCUUGCAACUCAUUCUUAAGUGGCUGCAUGUACACAUUCAUAUUCCUCCAUGGCUAGUUGGGCCGUGGAAUAAUCAAUGUCAGGAAUAUGUUAUUUCUUUGCAUAAUCUGUCCGGGGAGGAGAUUGAGUGGAAUGACAAAUACAUGCCAACUACUGUAUUGGGUUGUUGUCAUAUCAAAGGGAUUGAACCUAUCCGGGGCGACGCAGACUCGAGGAUGCCUUGGAUCUGCCGCUUUAUCCAGAUGUAAUGCAUCGAAGUGCUUCCAUGCAAAAGCAUCUGAUGUGUGUACCAACAUCUUAUUCCUAUCUGCAUCUAGUUCUGUUCUUUUGCACAAUUUGUUCCAUGUCAUCUGUUUGGCCGCCGCUUCAACCAUGGUAAGACGUUGAAGCCUUUGUAUGAUUGGCAUGUACCGAAGAACAUUAAUAGGGAUUUUGGUCUGUAUCUUCUGACCAUACCAUUGUCUACCACAACAUACCUGAAAGACUAGCAAAUGGGGCAAUAGUUCAACCCCGCAUACUCAAGCCUAAAUAAGGUACAUCCUUUCUCACAUUCAUCUAUCUUAUCAUAGGUCAUCUUAAUUACACGGAGUAUUUUUUCCGACUGGUAUAGGUUUGCAGGCAUGACAUGGCCUUUGGGUAUAAAGCGUCCAAAUAGUGUCAUCAUUGUGUCAUAGCAUUCUCUGCCCAAGUUGAUUUGAGCCUUCAGAGCCAUUACUUGUGUGAUGGCAUCCAGCUGACAAAGCAUAGUGUGCUUGCGGAGAGGACGUUUUGAAGACUCCAAUAAUUCAUAGAAGGCCUUUGCAGAUUCCUCCAUCUCAUUGUCCGAAUCCCUACCAUCAUCAAAGUCUUCCACCAUGUCUUCGAUCCUCGUACCAUGCUCAUCGGUGUGACUCUCCACGUCAACUAUGGUACGUUGGGAAAACUCACCAUGAAAUGUCCACACUGUAUAAUCAGACGUAAAACCACUCUUCUGCAGGUCUUUACUCAUUUCAUCCUCUGCCAUCUGUUUAAAGUUGUUGAUCCGACACACGGGCAACGGGUUUUUAUCCGGCCAUUUGGAAAUGCGGCUUUGACAAAUCCCUUGUCUUUGUUAACAGUUAUUUGCUCAUUUCUUUCUGACUAGUGUGACUGGUGUGCAUCGACGCGCGAUCACCCAUGAUGAUACUUGCACUCACACUAGUUGCACCAUAACCAUAUUCAUCAAGUUAUGUAGAUGUAAUUGCGACUAGAUACAUAACUAAUUACUUUUGUUACAUUUUUUAUGCCAUAGUUUUAUUUUUUAUCAUACAAAAGGGAAACGGGAUUGAAUCUAUCUCUAAUAGGUAAAAAUGGGUCCUAAUCCCACCCGAAUAUGUGUAGAUCGGGUUCGUUUCCCAUGGUCUGCUCAUGAUUCGAAGCAAAAUUCCAGCAGCACCUCCGUGCAGUUCUCUAGAUACACAUCUCGGAAACAAGCAAAGACAAUGUGUAGCCGAAGAACAACAGAGUGGCGCUGACGAAAUUUUGCCUCAGACCAAAGUAGGGCAGGAGAAACGAAACCCAAUCUACGUGGCUGUCCAUGGAUAACACAGACAAUUCGAAAGGAUGGCGGUUAUAAAUAUGCAAAGACAUGCAUAUUUAGAGAUGAAUCCCUUUCGAACAUGAGAUGCCUAGUUUACGAGACUUGACAUGCAAGUAAAAUAUAGUGGCAUCGGCACGAUGACUGAAAUAGAGCAAAUAUGGGACGGGGAGGAGAUGAUAGCCGAGCUCACACCUAGACCGUAGAGGCGAUAGUCGACCAACAAUGACAACAUCACCAGGAUCGAUGGUACUCCUCGAGGUGAAGAGAAGAUCCAUGCACAUGAAAAACGCCAGCACGACCAACAUAAGCACCAUUUUUCUGUAUUUACCUGCUCAUUUCAAUAAUAUUGUAAUCAACUAUAAAAAAAAUGUGUGAAUCAAUACUGGUACUUGAGCAUACUACUAAAGCAAAGAAUGGAGAUAAUUUUUCAACAAGUUUUGUUUAUUAUAUCAUGGAUCAUACUAUUACCUUGUACUUGAAUUGCACGACAAGCUAAAUGCCCAAAAUGAUGAUUCUAUUCUAUCCCACAAGGUGACCGAUGAAGACAUAGUUUUUUAGGACUAUGCGUUCUCAAAUUACUUUCCCCGUGCUUUGGCCAUGCCAAUCUGUACUAUGUUAUUUAUUUGCCUUCUCAAAAUAACACAGAGCCUUUGAUUGCCCCCCUAUAAAUUUGUAUGUCAUGACCAGGGGAUUUAUAAAAAAUAUAGCUAUGACCAAGGAGCUAGUUGUUCACAGUUCAUACAAUCACGAGCAGGUUGUUGUAGUGUGCUAAUGCCAUUUGUUUCAGGAUUACGAUGUCCACGCAUGCAUGUCAUCAAAGGUGUACAAGGAUGCUAAACCAUUUGUAACAUAACAUAUAUGAAAUCAUUAAGUUGCUUCUUCAAGAAAUAAAUAUUGAAAUAACACAUGCCCUUUUUUCACAUUGCAAUCAGAAUCAUUGACCUAAUAUUAUACAUCACAUUUCAGUUAGUUUGAUCCAGAAGGUAGAUUCCAAACUAAGCCAAGAAGCAUAUAAAAUAUGAUUUAAACACAUUAUGCGGUUAUUGGCUUUCACUCCAAAGGAUGAUGAAAACAACUAUAGUUUCUUCCUAUUUUUGGUAAAUUUAGGUUCUCAAGCUUCACGAAAAAAUAACAAAUGAACCAUCCCUUCACCUAGUUAACUCAGAACAUUGUCAGAACUCAAAACUAGUAUAAAAUAAACAUAGGAGAGAGGUUAACUAACACCAACAGGCAACACGUCGACAACCUCGUAUACAUAACCUACACGCCAUCGACAGAGGACUUAGCUCAACGUGUAAAUGUAAAUGGGGGGAGAGAGGGCAACACAAGGGAUUAGGACGAACAUGUUACAAGCAAUCUGAGUUCACAUGUGUGCUUGCAUCGAUGAACUACCCGUAGCUUCCUAGCAAUGCAAUCAGACAAGCAAGCAUCAGAAAUCAGAACUACAACCUCCAUCCUAACUCGGAACAUAUUCAGAACUCACAACCAAAGCAUGGGCCACAGGUUAACACCAACAUGCCCCACGCUAACAAGCUGAAGCUUGGAUAUACAACAACCUACACACCAUUGACAGACUUGACUUAGCAUGUGAUAAUUGUAAUUGUGGACAGGUAGGGAAACACAAGGCAGGUAGUAGGAUGAAGAGGUUACGAGCAUCCGCUAUUGACUAGAUCAUCGUCCACUACUUCGCUAGUGAUAGAAGUCAACACGAGACAAAAUUUGAACCAGAGCAAUCUAGCAUCCCACGAAGGGGUGUGUAGCCGGGACACGACAAUAGUAGGAGACAGUAGGGAGAAGGGGAAAGGAGGGGAGAAGGGGAGGCUUACCCGCCUACAGCGAUCCGAUGCGAGGGGACAGGACAACCAUGACAAAGGAGUGGCCGGCGACGAGGGAUCCACAAGGCAGAGGGCGCAAGACGGAGGGGUGCUGGCAUGGCGUGGUGGAGGAGGAGGAGUGGGGAAGGAAGGAAGGGAGGGAGAGAUGGAGGGCGGCGGUGGGGUGCAGAGAUGGGGGAAGGUAGUGAGGAGGUGAGACAGUGAGGGAAUGGAGGGAGGAGCUGACAAUGGUUGGGGAAGGAGGUGAGGAAGGGAGCGAGGAGUGCGGUGGUGGACAGAGGUGGCGCUGGCGGUUGCGGGGUGGAAGAAAGUGGGGGGAGAUAGGGGGUGGGGGCUAACGGCCCUUAGAUAGGCAAGGGCUUUG
rnacentral:lncRNA from 1 species